GCUACCAGAAAAUUACUAACAGUCGAAGCUUUGCACAACGCAUUUUAAUAGUGCUUGCCUAUUUUGUAUAAUGGUGUUUUCGUUGUUGAUGUGUGCAUGUCACUUGCGACUUAAGAAGAUAAGAUCCUUGUUAGCAUGGUUCUUGUAUGCAGAAUAGUAAAUGUUCUGUCUAAUUUUUUUUUAUCUUUUUUUUUACUUGACGGCUGUAGUUUAUUUUUACCUUAUGUAUGUUAGGAUGGUGUUUGUCAGCAUGCGUUGUCUUUAGGCGUGACAAUAUUCAAUUUGCAUCUUAUUUUAUCUGUAAUUCAUAACGGGACCACAAGUUCAUGUUCUCAUCACUUUCUCAACUCCCCAAAUGCUUUCUUUUUGUUUACCAUACUAAACUAAUACUUUACUAUCUACAACAAAUCGCUUUGAAACUGUAAAUAUUAGUAUUGUUUCACUAAAUGAAAUAUAUAUAAUAUAAAGAUAACAUCAGAAAUUUCACAAUGUUAUUUGGGUGAGAAUUUGGUCUUGUUUCAUUGUAUGUGAAAUGAUUUUACUUUAUCUUAUUACUAUGUGUGAAAAAAAAAAACUGAAAAGACAUUUCUAGUAUAGAUAUAAUAUAAUACAAAAAGUAGAUGAGUUUCAU
rnacentral:lncRNA from 1 species